CCUCGCCAGUGACCAAGGGCGAGUCCCCUAGGAGGCGGGCGGUUCUGGUAACGGAGCCGUUCGGAGCCCUCCGAUAAAGAGACCUCAAGACCGGGUGGGCCAUCACCUGGCACAAGGUAAG
rfam:Micromonospora cremea strain DSM 45599 genome assembly, contig: Ga0074693_11